AUUGAACGCUGGCGGCAUGCCUUACACAUGCAAGUCGAACGGCAGCACGGGUGCUUGCACCUGGUGGCGAGUGGCGAACGGGUGAGUAAUACAUCGGAACAUGUCCUGUAGUGGGGGAUAGCCCGGCGAAAGCCGGAUUAAUACCGCAUACGAUCUACGGAUGAAAGCGGGGACCCUCGGGCCCCCGCCCAUAGGGUUUGCCGAUGGCUGAUUAGCUAGUUGGUGGGGUAAAGGCCUACCAAGGCGACGAUCAGUAGCUGGUCUGAGAGGACGACCAGCCACACUGGGACUGAGACACGGCCCAGACUCCUACGGGAGGCAGCAGUGGGGAAUUUUGGACAAUAGGCGAAAGCCUGAUCCAGCAAUGCCGCGUGUGUGAAGAAGGCCUUCGGGUUGUAAAGCACUUUUGUCCGGAAAGAAAUCCUUGGCCCUAAUACGGUCGGGGGAUGACGGUACCGGAAGAAUAAGCACCGGCUAACUACGUG
rnacentral:rRNA from 1 species